rnacentral:tRNA from 1 species
UGGGGCGUGGCCAAGUGGUAAGGCAGCGGGUUUUGGUCCCG